UACGUAGGGUGCGAGCGUUGUCCGGAAUUACUGGGCGUAAAGAGCUCGUAGGUGGUUUGUCGCGUUGUUCGUGAAAACUCACAGCUUAACUGUGGGCGUGCGGGCGAUACGGGCAGACUGGAGUACUGCAGGGGAGACUGGAAUUCCUGGUGUAGCGGUGGAAUGCGCAGAUAUCAGGAGGAACACCGGUGGCGAAGGCGGGUCUCUGGGUAGUAACUGACGCUGAGGAGCGAAAGCGUGGGGAGCGAACAGG
rnacentral:rRNA from 1 species